AUUGAACGCUGGCGGCAUGCCUAACACAUGCAAGUCGAACGAGUGGCGGACGGGUGAGUAAUGUCUGGGAAACUGCCUGAUGGCGGGGGCUAACUACUGGAAACGGUAGCUAAUACCGCAUACCAUUAGAUCUGCCCAUAUGGGAUUAGCUCGUUGGUGGGGUAACGGCGCACCAAGGCGACGAUCCCUAGCUGGUCUGCGAGGAUGACCAGCCACACUGGGACUGAGACACGGUCCAGACUCCUACGGGAGGCAGCAGUGGGGAAUGUUGGACAAUGGGCGAAAGCCUGAUCCAGCCAUGCCGCGUGUAUGAAGAAGGCCUUCGGGUUGUAAAGUACUUUUGGCAGAGAAGCGUUAUCCGCAGAAUAAGCACCGGCUAACUCCGUGCCAGCAGCCGCGGUAAUUC
rnacentral:rRNA from 1 species